UUUUUUUUUUUUUUUUUUUCUCUCUGUUAUUGUAUUUUAACUUGAGAACUGGAACUUGAAACACAUUGGUUCCUCCCAUUAUACAUUCAGCUCCAGGAUCAUCUCAUGGUAUAAUUUCACAUGAAAAACUUGCCCAAAUUCAAAGAACUGACAAUUCCCUUGAUGAUGCCCAAGUGAAAGAAAAGUCUAGAAUUCAUCCUUCUAAGACCACUGGUAAUGCUUACAAAUUUGACCAUAAGCUUUUUGUUCCUUUAUUUGUCUCCUACAUAUGAUUCUACAGAUCAAAUUUUGACAGUGCCUUUUUCAAUUAACAGGAAAGAUGGUCUUACCCUUUACUCCAUUGACAGUGGUGUUCCAAGAUGUGCAAUACUAUGUUAUUCCUAUGGUACCCUAUUUAGUAUUAGUGUAAAGUUGAUGUGUUUGUAGAGUUAAUAGCUUUUCACAUCACAUGACAUUGUUUAUUUCUUGCUUAUUGUCGUGUUCCAGGAAACCAGGGAGCCGGGAUUUAGUCAGAAGAAACUUCAACUUCUAAGUGACAUUACUGGGGCAUUUAGACCUGGUGUUCUUACAGCAUUGAUGGGCGUCAGCGGCGCUGGGAAAACUACUCUUCUUGAUGUUCUUGCAGGAAGAAAGACUACUGGCUACAUUGAAGGGGACAUAAAAAUUGGUGGAUAUCCCAAGGUUCAAGAAACAUUUGCUAGGGUGUUGGGUUACUGUGAGCAAACCGAUGUUCAUUCUCCACAAAUCACUGUAGAGGAGUCUUUGAUGUUUUCUGCUUGGCUGCGCCUGGCUUCUCAGAUCGACUCAAAAACAAAAACUGUAAGUGUAAGACUGAUAUUUGUAGAAUAUUGUAUCAGAUGUUUGGUUCAGAUACAUUUUUGAGAUAAUAGUCUAAAAAUACUGUCAUAUGUAACAGGAGUUUGUCAAUGAAGUCCUUGAGACCAUUGAGCUUGAUGGAAUAAAAGAUUCCUUGGUUGGAAUACCUGGUGUUAGUGGUCUAUCAAAUGAGCAGCGUAAGCGGCUUACAAUUGCUGUUGAGCUUGUUUCAAAUCCCUCCAUAAUCUUCAUGGAUGAGCCUACAACUGGUUUGGAUGCAAGAGCUGCUGCAAUAGUCAUGCGAGCAGUGAAGAAUGUAUCUGAUACGGGAAGAACAAUUGUUUGCACCAUCCACCAACCGAAUAUUGAUAUAUUUGAAGCAUUUGAUGAGGUAAAACCAAAAGGCUUGGCUUCUAGCUGCAUUAUGCUUAGACAAGGUUGAAACAGUGAAGUGUAUUGCAGCAACUUUAUCAAAUCUUGAUGAGAAAUUUCUUAUUUUACAACUGAAGCUAAUUCUUUUGAAAACUGGAGGGCAUAUGAUCUACUCAGGACAGGUGGGUCAGCACUCGAGUAGAGUUAUCGAGUAUUUUCAGGUUAGACCGCUUCUGGUAUCAGGACUGAACAUACUAGUUGCUUUAAGCAAAAUAAGUUUUAACAAACCAUCGAUCUGCUGAACUUUCUUUCUUUAUAAAUUAAACUUUAUGGCAGAGUAUUCCUGGGGUUCAAAAGAUCAAAAGUAACUACAAUCCAGCAACAUGGAUGUUAGACAUCACUUCCACAUCAGCUGAAGCUGAACUUGGUGUUAAUUUUGCCCAAAUAUACAGAGAAUCUAGUUUAUAUGAGUGAGUACAGUUACAUCAUUAAUUAUCUAGUUGAGUGGUAUUGACUGACGUUAAAAAUGUUUGCCUGAUAUGCAUGACAGCUUUCCUAUAAUAACUUUGCAGGAAUAAUAUAGAGCUUGCAAGACAGUUGAGUACUCCACCUCAUGGUUCCAGAGAUCUGCAUUUUGCUACCCGAUUUUCGCAAAAUGGCUGGAUGCAGUUCAAAUCUUGCUUAUGGAAGCAGCACUUGUCUUAUUGGAGGAGUCCGUCAUACAACUUGAUGCGCAUCAUGCAUACGGUGGUAGCAGCUCUAAUUUUUGGAGCAUUGUAUUGGAACCAGGGGAGGAAAAUGUAAGCCCUUAUCUGUGCAUGCAUAAUGGAAAAUGAUAGACAGAAGUGUUCUAUUCUAUUCUUAAGUUACAGUAUUACUCAACUUAUACCUAACCACCCCUUUUUCCAUUUCAAUGUGGUUCAAUAUUCUGUUAGAACCGACCAGCAGAACUUAUUCAAUAUACUUGGUUCUAUGUAUACCGGUGUCAUCUUCUUGGGCAUAAAUAACUGCGCAACCGUUCUGCGAUAUGUUGAAACGGAGAGAACUGUCAUGUAUCGUGAAAAAUUUGUGGGGAUGUAUUCACCAUUGGCCUUUUCAUUGGCACAGGUACACUUUUCUUAAAUGUACUUACAAGUUCUUGCUACUUGCCAGAAGCUUAAAUUUGUUGUUGUGCUAAAGUUCUUGAUAUUUGUAGGUGGCGGUAGAAGUUCCCUAUAUAUUGAUCCAGGCAGUCAUAUUUAUGAUCAUCACAUAUCCAAUGAUUGGAUACUACGCUUCAGCAUAUAAGGUUUUCUGGUAUUUCUAUGCCAUAUUUUGUUCACUGCUAUACUACAAUUACAUGGGAAUGAUGCUUGUCUCGUUGACACCAAACUUCAUGGUAGCUGCAAUUCUAUCCUCAGUGUUCUACACAUUGUAUAACCUGUUUGCUGGUUUUCUGAUUCCUAAGCCGGUAAGCCUAAGCCUACCCAUUCUCAUUAACAUGUAUAAAUCCAAGUAGAUAGCUAUAGUAAAAUCUAAAAGAAAAUGAAUUCGAUAUGUUAUUCUUGCAGCAAAUUCCAAAAUGGUGGAUUUGGUUGUACUAUCUGACUCCCUCAUCUUGGUCACUAAACGGUUUGCUCACUUCACAAUAUGGAGACAUAAACACGGAGAUUAUCAUAUUUGGGGAACCCAAAACAGUGUCUGCCUUCUUGAAAGACUACUUUGGGUUUCACCAUGAUCAGUUGGCUCUGGUAGCAGUAGUUCUCAUUGCAUUUCCCAUAACUUUUGCAUCAAUUUUCGCCUACUGCAUUGGGCGGUUGAACUUCCAGAAAAGGUGAUUGGGAUCUCCUGUUCACAUAGAUCAGUAUAUAUAGCCAGGAAAUCAGUUCCUUGUAGUUUCUGUACCGCAUAUGGUUGUAACUUUAUGUUUUAAUGAAUUAAUCAAUAAUUGAAGGUAAUCAGCACCAUGUAGCUUGUGAUGUUUCAAAGUGUGGUCUUUCUGGGAGCUUAUCCGCUUGUCCACCUAUAUAGCUAGACUUGACAUGUGCAUACUACUAACGAAAACAUUGGAGUACAUAUACAACCUGGUUUAUAUUAAAGGAAGAAAAUCAGGUUCAAAUGAUUAUUUGUAUCAAUGGAAUGAUUUCAGCUAUUAGAGUGAUUGUUGGAUCAAAAUUAUAUUUAGAUAAUUAGACUUGAUACUUUCCUAGAAUAGUUUCAUUCUCAUUGUAUAUAUGUAAGAGUGCUGUAUCUAUUUUAGAGAUCUAUACACAAACCUUCAUACUCAUAUUCUUAUAUGGUAUCAGAGCACGGAUCUUGGUGACUCUAGAGACUCAUCCAUCUUCCGCAAAUACAUCAAACACUAUCAAACAAAACACUACCAAAUCGACGUUAUGGCCUACACAGAAGGACACAUUGUCCAAAGCCCACAAACAAACAUGACAUACCUACUUAUCCUACACCAUCUCGACGCAUAGUCACACCUACUUGCAAUAUUACACAUACUGAUCCUCAUUCGACAUUAUAUUGGAUCGUGGACAGUGGAGCAACGGACCAUGUUUCUUAUCUAUCACCUACUCACAACAAAAUUACAACAUCUCAUGAUUUUGUUGGUCUACCUAAUGGUGGGAAAGCCACCAUUGAGAGCAUUGGAACAAUUAAGUUGUCAACAGAUUUGAAUCUUGAUGGUGUUCUUGAUGGUGUUCCCAACCACCGCUCCCAUCUCACCCGCCACCGGCAUCACCCCAUCCUUACCUGUGUCGUCGUCGCUCCCAAUAUCUUCCACCAGCGGCCACUCAACAACACCGCCGCUCCACCCUCCACACCCCCGUCGACCACCACCACUAGACAACCUGGCCUCCAUUCCUGAUGCUCCCUCACUGCCCCCGUCCUCCGGCCCUCCAACAUCGUUCUCACCUGACCCGAAUCCACUAACCUCCAUGACUCAGUCCGCCCUACCAGACACAACAUCAUCACCUCCUCCUACCACAACUGCUCCGGCCGCUCCACCAUCUGAGGUCCCACGCCGGUCAGAUCGACCCCGAAAACCACCUUCAUACCUCGCCGAUUACAAAACCAACCAUGCCGUUCUGCUUGGCCAAGCCGUCGCUCUCCCCUCCACGUCUGGCACUCGGUAUCCGCUGCAAAGGUACAUUUCCUACUCUGGUUUGUCAUCUAAUUAUCGCUCAUUUGUGAACAACAUAUCUCAAUUAGUCGAACCAGCGAAUUAUGAACAGGCAAGCCGUGAUCCGCAAUGGGUUGCGGCCAUGAACACUGAAAUUCAAGCUCUGGAAGAUAACGGGACAUGGUCCAUGGUCCCUUUGCCUCUAGGUCAACGCCCUAUCGGUUGUAAAUGGGUCUUCAAGAUCAAGUAUCAUUCUGAUGGUACAAUUGAACGGUACAAGGCUCGACUUGUCGCCAAGGGAUUUAAUCAGAGAGAAGGGAUUGAUUACAAGGACACCUUUGCUCCGGUGGCCAAGUUGAUCACUGUACGUUGCUUGUUGGCUAUUGCUGCUGUCCGCAACUGGCCAUUACACCAGAUGGACGUCCAAAACGCCUUCUUACAUGGCAAACUACUUGAAGAGGUGUAUAUGUUGCCGCCACCCGGUUAUCGCCGACAUGGGGAGAAUUCAGUUUGUCAGCUCCACAAGUCCUUAUACGGCCUCAAACAAGCUUCCCGUAGUUGGUUUCAACGGUUCUCAUCAUCCAUUCAAGAAAUCGGUUUCCAACAGUCUCGUGCCGAUUAUUCUUUGUUUACUCAGGUUCGUGACAAUUCUAUUACAGUGGUGUUGCUUUAUGUGGAUGACAUGAUCAUAACAGGGAAUAAUGAGGAGGCCAUUCUUAGUCUCAAGCAAUUCCUUAAUAGCCGUUUCAAAAUUAAAGACCUUGGACCUUUGAAAUAUUUUCUGGGCAUCGAAGUUGCGCGCUCAGAGGCUGGGAUUACAAUUUGCCAACGAAAGUACACGUUGGAUAUUUUGGAAGAAGCUGGAUUAUUGGGAGUGAAACCUGCAACAGUACCUAUGGAACCUGAUUUGGUGUUAACAACAAAGGGAAGUGAUGCUCUGAAAAACCCAACCAGGUUUCGACGUCUGAUUGGGAAAUUGAUCUAUUUAACAAUCACCAGGCCAGACAUCACAUUUGCCGUCAAUACUCUCAGCCAAUUCAUGCAAGAACCAAAGCUACAUCACUUUAAGGCAGCUCUUCGCCUUCUCCAUUAUCUAAAAUCGGUCCCUGGCCAAGGAUUAUUCUUCUCAUCACAAAAUCAUCUUCGGUUGAUUGGUUAUUGUGAUGCGGAUUGAGCUAGAUGUCCAUUGACACGUCGCUCAGUGACAGGAUAUUGUAUUUUCCUUGGACAAUCACUUGGCUCAUGGAAAAGUAAGAAACAAGCAACAGUGUCUAGAUCCUCAGCUGAAGCUGAAUAUCGUUCGAUGGCAGCAUCCUCUUGUGAGCUCUCUUGGCUUAGAUACUUGUUGACAGAUUUACGGGUGCUUCAUCCUGAACCAGCAUUACUCUUUUGCGACAAUCAAGCUGCUUUACACAUAGCAGCGAAUCCAGUUUAUCAUGAGAGAACUAAACAUAUUGAGUUAGAUUGUCACACUGUGCGUGAAAGAAUUCAGAAGGGGGAAGUCAAAACAGCUUAUGUGUCAACUGGAAAUCAAAUAGCCGAUAUGUUUACGAAGCCAUUGCGAGCACCUGCUUUUCACACACAUCUUGACAAGUUGGGCGUUCUUGAUAUCCACACUCCAACUCGAGGGGGAGUAUUAAAGGAAGAAAAUCAGGUUCAAAUGAUUAUUUGUAUCAAUGGAAUGAUUUCAGCUAUUAGAGUGAUUGUUGGAUCAAAAUUCUAUUUAGAUAAUUAGACUUGAUACUUUCCUAGAAUAGUUUCAUUCUCAUUGUAUAUAUGUAAGAGUGCUGUAUCUAUUUUAGAGAUCUAUACACAAACCUUCAUACUCAUAUUCUUAUAGUUUAGAAUGAAGUUAUACUACUCUGUAAGAAUGAACUGCAGUUUUAUAAGAAAACAGAAGGGAUCGGAUGUUCUUAUAAAUGAGGGUGUGUCAAUGCUCAUUUUUGUAGAUAGAGAUGAAACAGGCUUUAAUUUAGAUGCCGAAAAGGACCAUUUUCGCAUCAGUUUCUACUUCCAUAUGGGGGUUGGUGUUUGUUUUAAAACAGCUUUGUUAUCAUAUACUUCAAGAGUUCCCCAAACAACUGUAUUAGUACAUUGAUAUUGAUUUUGAUGUGGCCUUGCAGCUGAUCCUUUCUAGCUUGUGCACAGAAAUCAAUUACAGUAAUCAAGAGAGCGAUUCUUUACAUGUUUGAUUCACCAAACUCAAAACUCCACUAUUUUCUUCAAUAGAAUUCAACAUGCCAAAUGAAGCCGCUUGAUAGAAUAAAGAAAAAGCACACAUGCACACAAUCAAAAGCAAGCAAUAGCAAGCCUCUUCUUGAUUUGGAAGAAGCAAAUCAAUAAUCAGCUGCUAUUAAGUAGAGAGAUCAGAAUCACAUCCUGUACUCUUUAAGGCUAUUCCCACUUCAAGGUCUUCACCACUUCCCAUGUAAAGUCAGGAUCAUCUCUACCAAAGUGUCCAUAAGCAGCUGUCUUCAAAUACCUUCCCCUCUUGAGGUCCAAGUUAAUGGCAAUCAUUCCAGGCCUAAAAUCAAAGGCCUCCUUCACUAACUUCAGAAUCUCCUUGUCUGGAAUCUUUCCAGUCUUAUAAGUGUCAACAAACACUGAUAGUGGCUCAGGUACACCAAUUGCAUAUGAGACCUGCACUAUGCACCUUCUAGCAAGGCCAUUGGCUACAAUGCUCUUAGCAGCCUGCCUAACAAUGUAUGCACCGCUCCUGUCUACCUUGGUAGGGUCCUUGCCGGAGAAGGCACCACCACCAUGAGCUCCCCAACCACCAUAGGUGUCGAUGAUGAUCUUUCGGCCAGUUAGACCUGCAUCACCGUGCGGUCCACCAAUCACAAAUCGACCUGAAGGGUUGAGAUGGAAAAUAGUCUUCUCAUCUAGGUACUUCUCAGGAACAACUGGCUUAAUGACAUGUUUCUUGAGGUCAGCUGCAAUUUCAUCAUUGGUAACAGUCUCAUCAUGCUGAGUAGAAAUGAGAACCGUGUGGACACGGAGUGGAACCAUAGCACCAUGGUCAUUGUAGUACUCCACAGUGACUUGAGUCUUGCCAUCAGGUCUCAGCCAAGGGCAGGUGCCAUUUUUUCGAACAUCAGUGAGACGUGCACCAAGCUGUGUAGCAAGAACAUGGCUGAGAGGCAUAAGCUCAGGAGUCUCAUCAGUGGCAUAACCAAACAUGUGACCCUGGUCUCCUGCACCAAUUUCCUCGGGCCGCUUGGUGAGGUGGCCAUGCACACCCUGAGCUAUAUCAGGGCUUUGUUGCUCAAUGUUCACCAGGACCUUGCAGUUGUCAGCAUCAAGGCCUACAGCAUCCGAAACAAAUCCAAUGCUGCGGCAGGUGUCGCGCACUAUCUUCUCAUAGUCCACUUUGGCUUUGGUUGUGAUCUCUCCGAAAACCAUGACCAUGUUGGUCUUGGUGCAAGUCUCACAGGCAACUUUGCUGUCAGGAUCUUGUUCAAGGCAGGCAUCAAGCACUGCAUCGGAAAUCUGAUCACAGAGCUUAUCAGGGUGUCCCUCAUUCACAGACUCGGAGGUAAAGAGGAAGGUGUCCAUUUUUAGAAGCUGCAAUAGGACCAAUAUUUGGAAUGAAUAAGAACCUCAGCUUUUAAUUAACCAGUAGCUAAGCAACAUAUUAAGUUAUUAACAAGCAAUAUUACAAGUGUUGGAAUAAGACAUCAAGUCCAUAUCUAAGAUUGCUUUACUUGGAGCAUCUGAACAUGGUAUCUUAGCAUAACUUUCACAAAUUUAUACCUUCCAAAAGUAACUAUACUAAAGGAAAGGGAAACAGGCAACCUUCUACCACCCACCAUUAAAGAACAAAUCCGAUAAAAUCUAACAGAAGGAGAAUCAGCCCUGUUAAACAUCAUGUAGAAAUGGCCUAAAGUCCUAAACUCCUGACUUAACUUUUGAGAACAUAUAUGAAAGUAAAACUCUUCAAGAUCAAGCAAUCAGAGGAACAUCACUGCAAGCAAGUACAACAUUUUGGUGCCCAAUUAAGAAAUCCAAUAAAACACUAUUCCAUAUGACUUUAAGGCAAAGAAACAAAAGCUAGAAGUCAGACAAGCCCAGAGUUGGGUGCCAAAGACAUGAACUUUUGACUCAUUUCUGUAACAGUACUCAGGAAACAAAACAGUCAAUUGAUCAAAACUAAUUGUGAGGCAAUUACAACCAACAAACAACUCAAGAAAGCCAGGAAAUUACAUGUUUACAAUCAAAAGACUAAUUGAACUCCAUAUGAAGACCCCCUAAUGAUAGUUCAGUCAUACAAAAACCCAAAGAAUCAGACACGAGCCCAGAAGCAAAGAAAAAAUCUCGAAGUUGAGUACAAAACCAAGUGAAUUGCAGCAAUCAUCUUAAAAGUAAGAGAAAAAAGAAAGCAAAAGGCCUUAGCAUGAAAUAUAAUAUAUGCUUCGUACUCACUGCUUACUUGAUAAGCAAGAAUCCUGAGCUGCCUAUAUUCUGGGUGCCAAAGCUGGAAUCUUAGGCUCUCUCACACAGAAACUCUAGCUCAGGGCUUUGUAUUUAUAGAGGGAACUUCAUGAAGGUUAUUGGUGCAUGUGUUUCAUGAAGUUUCUUGGCCAUUGGAUGAAAUGAACAGACGACUUAGAUUGAACGGAGUCGGUGGACUAAAGCGACUGACCCUCCGAUUUGGUUAAUUUUGAGGUUUUGUCCAUGGAGGUUUGUAUAUAUUUGCAGUCACUUUUUUGUCUACGUACCUACUUGAGAUUCCAUUAUGUCGAUCAAAUAACUUUGAGAUUCCAUUAUGUCGAUCAAAAAACUAUGAGAUUCCAUUACGCCUACUUUUGCUUUUUCAACCACUACCUAUGUUUUAGGAUCGACCAGAAACAGGCACAGUUCUUCAUUUAGAGAUACAUCUCGAAUAUUUGAUUUCGAGAAAACAUCUACAAUUGUUCAUAGUGUUUUUUCUCAAGAACCCGCUGCAAGCCUGGAAGGAAUCUAAAGUUUACUCGUCGUGAAAUAUGGUUGUUUCUCCCUACAUAUCUCUUGAAUCUGCACAAACUUGGGUGUUGGGAGUUGGUGAAGUUUAUAUUUCCAAGUCGACCAACUCCAUGAUGUAGUCACACACGAUCAUGACAUGAUGAUCAAUAAUUAAAGUUCACAUUAACUAGAUCUCUAUUUGGCUUGGCACUUCAUGCAUCAUGCAUAUCUGUAAAUUGAUAUUUUAAACUCUAAUGUCCUCAUACUAGCCAAAAACUUGCCUUAAUUUUGUUCAUUAGAUGAAAGAUUACCAUCACCAUGAUAUAUAAUCAUACUUUGCUUUCUAUCUCUUUCAGGUGGUAAGGGAUUUUAUAUAUAUAAAGUUCAACACAUGCAAACUGCGCUGAAACACAUUGUAAUUAUUACUUGGUCUGACCGACGUCCUUAGAUUUUUGAUUAUCACUAAAACAAAUAUAAUCAGAAAAGGGUGAAUCUGAAUCAUAUAUUAUUAAGAUCCUGGUGAUGGGUAGGCCUCGUUAGAACUCAUAAUUCAUCAAAGUAUUGGAUUCCACGUUGUUUGCACAUCAUGCAAAUGGCCUCCACCUAACGUCUUUUGAAUUUACACAGUAAUUAAGCAAGGAAAAAGAUAGGUAUAAGGGAUAUAAUGUUAAGUUGUUGGAUUAUGGUUGGUCUAAUUUGAGUUGAUUUAGAGAACAUAUAUAUAUAUAUGUAUAACUUCUUAAAUCCUGCCGUAUGAUGUCACAGAGCAGUCCCAUAUAUGUCACAUAGCAUUAUAGAAAGUUUAGAAACUUUACCUUUAAUCAUUUUAUAGGAAAGUUUAACAUUCUUUUUAGAAAGAAAAAAAAUCAUAAAUGAUCACUGACUUUUGAUCCAUUAAUCAGUUUACUCACUCACAUUUCAAAAAUGUCACUUAACUCACUCACUUUUGAUUAUAUCUCUCACUUAACUCACUGCCGUUAAACUUACCGUUAGGAACUGUUAACAUCGAAGGUAUAUUUGUCUAAUCACGUAAAAUAUUUCUAACUUAUUUUUAAAUUUAUUUCUAAAGUUAUUAGAUCAUUUUCCAAUUUUUUCUUGAAAUUUCUAUGAAAAAGAGUAACUUUAAAAAAUCUGAAAUUAUUUUGAAAAAAUAUAUUAUUUGUAGUUCUUUUUUUUCUGGUACAAAUUAUUUGUAGUUCUUUUCAUCAUAAAAAAGAAAUUAACUUAAAAAUUAAUGCAUAUUUACCUUAAUUAUUUGAAAGUUAUUAAAUUAUGGGACAAUGCCUACUAGCCUUAAAUUUAAGAUUUUUCUUCCCACUAACAAAAUCAGAUUUUUAAAUUCCGACGAGUUAACUUACACAACAAAAAGACAAGUAUGCCCUUAAUGAAUUAAUAAACUAUAACAGAACAUUAUAAAAGUCUAGUAUGAAAUAAAGAUUUUUAUGACCGGAUUCCCAAGGCGGGCGACUGUUGACCAAACUCCGACAACCGUUGAUCGGACUCCGACAACCGUUUACAUGAUUCCGACGACCGUUGACUGGAGUCCGACAAUAUGAUGUCUACUGGGGGUAGUAGGAGGGUCUACUGACAAAAUGAUGUCUACAUGGGACAGUAGAAGGGUCUAUUAGGGACAGUAGGGGAUCAUGAGGGUCUACUGAAGGGCAGUAGGGGUUUACUAAAUGCAAUAGAAGGGUCAGGAGGGUCAACUGGCUGAUGGACAUAAAAAAUAGCAUCACCGAACAUAGAACCCAAUGCACAAUUAGCAGAGGAUUGUUUGCAAGGUACAUCCAUCUAUUCUACCAAUACAUAUACUUGCAAAGCACAUAUCAUUCAACCCUGAACUAGAACACUACAAACAUUCAAAUGCUCACCACUGUGGACUUGGCACCAAACUCAUAUCCUAAAGCUUCAAACUACGAAAUAUGAAUAGCAAGCUCCCUAAAGUUCACGAAAAUUGCAAACUGAACAUAAAGCAUCUGGUCUAUCACACCCAACAACAUCAACAACUUGAACAAAGAUAAGACAUUAACAAUAAUUUAAUUGAGGUAUUAGUCUACUACCACCAUAGAAAGCGACGUCACUUCUCUAAUAACCAUGAAUGAAUUAGUAUUUAAUUUGGUCAUAAUCACAACUCCACAAGACCUCGACCUCACCAAACACUGCUUCAACUAUUUUCUGAACAGAAUUCUUCACGCUUGAACUUAAAUCCGGCGAUCGGUGCCGAGAUUGAAGAUGAAGCAAGAAGAGGAAGAGGAGUGACCUUGCUCAUGGGGACCUAAUCUUUAUUUACAAUUCCUCAAAACCAAAGAAAAAAAAAUCUCAACUGACCGCCGAAAAGCUGACGAUCUCAACGGCAGACUUGGAGACGAUCUCAAUGCAGAGGACUUUGAGGCAGAUCCACCACCGCUGAAAAGCUGACGAUUAGAUCCACCACCGUUGUCAGAUUCAUACCGGUGUUAGGGCACUGAGGACGAUCUCGACGCAGAUCCAAGAGUGGUAAAGUCGAUGUGAUUUAUGGCGAAGGUUGGGGAGUGGAGGGAGGAGCCGUUGAGGCGGGGUU
rnacentral:lncRNA from 1 species